GUUGAACGCUGGCGGCAUGCUUUACACAUGCAAGUCGAACGGCAGCGCGGGCUUCGUCCUGGCGGCGAGUGGCGAACGGGUGAGUAAUACACCGGAACGUGCCCAGCAUUGGGGGAUAGCUCGGCGAAAGCCGGACUAAUACCGCAUACGACGAGAUGGUGAAACCGGGGGAUCUUCGGACCUCGCGCGAUUUGAGGGGCCGAUGGCAGAUUAGCUAGUUGGUUGGGUAACGGCCUACCAAGGCGACGAUCUGUAGCUGGUCUGAGAGGACGACCGGCCACACUGGAACUGAGACACGGCCCAGACUCCUACGGGAGGCAGCAGUGGGGAAUUUUGGGCAAUGGGCGAAAGCCUGAUGCAGCAAUGCCGCGUGUGUGAUGAAGGCCUUCGGGUCGUAAAGCACUUUUGGCGGGGACGAAAAGGACUGUGCCAAUACCACGGUUCGAUGACGGUACCCGCAGAAUAAGCACCGGCUAACUACGUG
rnacentral:rRNA from 1 species